GAGCGGCGGGGACGGCGCGUAACGGGGCCGCGAGGCUCCUCCCAACGACCAGCGCUGCCGCCUCGUAACGCCCGCACCGCGCGGACGGGGACGGAGCAGCCCGCGCGGGGCACAGAAACGGCUGCCCGGCCUCGAGAGGGAAAAAACGGCCGCGGCCCUGUGGGGCAAAAUGAAGCCUCCUUCGAGCCGGAAUCGAACCAGCGACCUAAGGAUUCCCGCAGGCGGCGCCUCUACAGUCCUCCGCUCUACCAGCUGAGCUAUCGAAGGGAACUGGCGGCUGGCGCCGUUCCGCCCCUCACAGCUCGGCGGGCGCGGCGGGAACACGGCGUGCGAUCUUCUCCUGUGGGGAGGGAGACUGAGGGGCCUGUCACAGUCACGCUGCUUUUGGAGAGCAUAUUAUUAUUACUAUUUUUGAUUAUAUAAUAAUAAUAAUAAUAAAUAGCUCUUUUCAUGCACCGUAUGAGAAGCAGCUGCCACCCAAAAAAGUGAAAAGCCACACAGUACCACACAUACUUACACACCAAGCUUGUGUGCUUUGCCAACCUUCACUUUCUCCUGGUACAUGCAGCCCGAAGCUGUGAAAAUUCUAAAGGGCGAGAUUAUGACCUCACAGCAUUCCCCUGGUGUGAGGCGUUGCUACAGGCAGGGGCACGGCUGCACAGCAGGCACUGCUUGCUUGGAGAGAAUCACUCACCAGAACAAACUUCUGCAUCCCCAAACACAGUGUUACAGUACCCCCAGGGCUGACUGGUCUUGGACGCACCAUCGUCUCACAGGCCUGGCAAGAGGAGGUCGCUGAGACCUACAAAACCUCUGCUGCACAGAGCCCUGGGCACCUCCUUCAGGAAACAAGUUAGGAUGCAGGGAGCAGUGUCUGUGCCUAGAGAGGAAGCCGUGAGGUUCCCACUUCCAAGGCCUCCCCUCUGCAGCUGACUGAUGAUGGAUCAAGGCGGUCUUUGCUCGCUGCUUUCUGUACGGGUGUUCAGUACAACCCACAUUCACUGGGGUUUGCUUUUAGUAUCCGGGGAUGACAGCACAGCAGGCUUACCCACAUCAAAGCUGUGACAAAAGCUGUAAUUAAAAAUAGAAGAAGAAGAACAAAGCUCACCUUGCCUGGAACAGGAUUUUUGUCAUCAGCGUCAUACAGUAUGAAUUGUCACUGUUUAGUAUUCAUAAAAUAGAUGCUAAGGAAAGCGUGAGCUGAGUCAAACUACUAAAUUAGUUGUUAAGAAGCCGAACCAUGGAGGAGCCUGGAGUCUAUAGGAAGAUGAUUCUGUGCACAGGCUGUUAGCAAGACACACAGCUGAUA